CCCCCUCGGCUCGGGGCCCUCCGCCCUGCCGCAGCCCUGCCAGCCCCGAGCUUUCCCUUGGCGCCGGCUCCGGCGGACGUUUUCGCUCCCGCACCACGCAAAACCGGGACGGAGUCGGGACACCGAGACACCGGAGAGCUCGGGAUGGAACCGGCGCGAGGGGGCGGCCAGCACGGUCCGAGAUGGUGGCCGGCUAUAGGAACGACAGAGCCGAGCUACUGCCUGUGAAAGUGCUUCUUGUAAAUGGUCUGAGCAGUUGUUGAAGGUUUUCAACAGAGGAAACCUCUUCAGAUGGAAAAAAAAAAAAAAGAAAGAAAGAAAAAAAAAAAGAGAAGAAAAAGCACAACGGAAAUCUAAACUCAGAUCUCAGGCUAUACAAAUUGGCCCAAAAGAAAAUGGGGGAAAUCUCCUUAGGAGGAACAUUUUUAGUUCACUAAAGAAUAAACUUUGCUCAUAAAUGAUGAAAGUUAUUAUCAUCAGAGGAUGUCCUGUACCAAACAAACCUCCAUUAGGCUGGGAAGGAUAAAACAGGCUAGACAGCCUUUAAAAAAAAAAAUCAUCAUGUCUUUGAUUCCCAAGAUAUCAACCAUGUCUGUUUCUUUAGUGCUGUCAAGUAAAUCUGAGUUAUGGAUGCUCUAAAAGAAGCCAGCAAGGAGAAAAUUCAGCAAGUGAAAAUUAAGAGUUAUCCAUACUUCACAAAAAUACACUUUCUUUUCAAGUUCUUAAGCUUCUGCCCUGUAGAAUGGUAUGACAAUUUCUUAGAAGAGCAAGACCAGUGAAUGUGGUAAAGCUGUGAUCAUCAGAGCAUACAAUUUCAUGGCAGAUUCUUUUUACCGUGCUUUUUGCUCUUUCUGCAAAGCAGUGUCCAUCAUUUUCACCACAAGAGCCUUAACGUCUGGAAUGUAACCUCCUAAAACUGCCAGUGCCUCAAGGUGGGUGUCACAGCCUGGGCUCCACUGCUGAAACCAUUUUCUAGCCUGUUUAUGUAUCAUGUCUAACCUGAUCAAACAGACAGAGGACAGUUGCUUGAUUUAGUACAGCAUCCACAUAUUGCUCUUUAAUGUAGGUGAUCUGGGAAGUUGUGUAAAAAGCAAAUCCCUGUGUCUGGGCGAGAAGGACUGGCUGGUUAGGGAGCUCAGGCACAGCAGGAGGAAAGCAAGCCCACUGAGAGAGCUUCCUCCCUCCUUACAUGCCAAAGGCAAGGCAUCCAUCAAAGCCAUCAGCCUGGUCAGGAAAAGCACAGUUGGCUAUGUUGUCUUUGCAUUUUUGCCAGUGUGAAAGGAGCACAAACUGGUAUUUCCAAAUCUAGCCAUAGGAAAAUAGAGCACAUUUCUUUGAGAGUCAUUCUGUACUCACUACAUGUGUAAUGAAGAAACCUGUGACAAAAAAAAGGUGGGGGGGACAGGGGCAAAAAGCACUGGUUCCAUAAAGGUUGUGAGGCUGUGAGUGUGGGCUCUCCCUGGGUGGAACACCACAGAAUGAAAAUGGGAGGAUGAAACAGAGUUUUAGGUAGCUACCAAUCAAAAAUAAUUGUUUUUAGGGUUUUUUUCAGUUUUAUAAUUUAAUUUCCAGUUCUGCGAAAAGUUAGAUACCAUGUACUCUGUUGGAAUAAACAUCAUUUAUUGUUUCCCUUA